rnacentral:tRNA from 1 species
GGGCCUCUAGCUCAACGGUAGAGCAGUUGACUCUUAAUCAAUUGGUUCAGAGUUCGAAUCUCUGGGGGCCCACCA